GACGAACGCUGGCGGCGUGCCUAAUACAUGCAAGUCGAACGCAUUUUCUUUCACCGUAGCUUGCUACACCGAAAGAAAAUGAGUGGCGAACGGGUGAGUAACACGUGGGUAACCUGCCCAUCAGCGGGGGAUAACACUUGGAAACAGGUGCUAAUACCGCAUAAUUCCAUUUACCGCAUGGUAAAUGGAUGAAAGGCGCUUUUGCGUCACUGAUGGAUGGACCCGCGGUGCAUUAGCUAGUUGGUGGGGUAACGGCCUACCAAGGCUGCGAUGCAUAGCCGACCUGAGAGGGUGAUCGGCCAUACUGGGACUGAGACACGGCCCAGACUCCUACGGGAGGCAGCAGUAGGGAAUCUUCGGCAAUGGACGCAAGUCUGACCGAGCAACGCCGCGUGAGUGAAGAAGGUUUUCGGAUCGUAAAACUCUGUUGUUAGAGAAGAACAGGGAUGAGAGUGGAAAGUUCAUCCCUUGACGGUAUCUAACCAGAAAGCCACGGCUAAC
rnacentral:rRNA from 1 species